ACCAAGCACAUAGUUCUCCGUUGGUCCUAGUGAUAGAGAUGAGGGAUCUGGUUUUGAAAGUGGACUCUGAUGAUGAAGAGAUGUUUUUUCAUGGAAAGGACCCAGCUCAGGAUGAUCCCAAAUUCAUUAAGUCAGCUCCAACACAGCAUUCCGGCAGCCAGCCUGAUGAUGAACAGCCUAGUACAUCUUCAGCUGUCCAUGCUGUAAAACCAACUCCUUCUGCUCCAACUCCAGCUGCAGCCUCUAUGUCCACUCCAAGGAGAUCACCACGGAAAAAGAUUCAGAAAAGACCAUGUCUUUUA